rnacentral:lncRNA from 1 species
UAUAAGAAUGCAAUGAAUGAAUUCGAUCUUCAAUUUAAAAUAUUUACACUAGUGGAUACCACAAAAUCUUAUUUUAUACUUAAUGAAAGUAUAAUAUUAAAUCUAAGUGUUUAUUUAAUCUACCGUUUUGAUGCAAUAUGCAUUCUAUGAAAUUUUUUUCAACGGUUAAGCUGUCAAACUUAUUUGUACACACUUUGAGAUUGCAUACGUAAAAAAUCAUAAAAGACAAACAUUAAGAAAUUAUGUAAUGGAACAAAAGUUUUUCGACGGUUAUAAACGAAAAAUCACAAUUUAAUGGUUAUUUUAGCUCCGAUAUUAAUGAUUUUUUACAGUUACACUUCUCGACCCUAUAAGAAUGUAAUGAAUAAAUUUGAUCUUCAUUUUAAAAUAUUUAC